rnacentral:rRNA from 1 species
UACGUAGGUGGCAAGCGUUGUCCGGAUUUACUGGGCGUAAAGAGCGCGCAGGCGGUCGAUCAAGUCGCGUGUGAAAGCCCCGGCUCAACUGGGGAGGUCACGCGAUACUGACCGACUCGAAGGCAGGAGAGGGUAGUGGAAUUCCCGGUGUAGUGGUGAAAUGCGUAGAUAUCGGGAGGAACACCAGUGGCGAAGGCGACUACCUGGCCUGUUCUUGACGCUGAGGCGCGAAAGCUAGGGAGCAAACGGG